CUCAGCCCCCUCCCCUCCGUCUCUCCCUUUCUUUUUCCCUCACUCCCAUCCCCCUCUCCUCCGUCCCUCCGCUCCCCUUUUCCGUCCCCUAGCCCCUUCCGAUCCAUCCAUUUCUUUUUUUCUUCGAUUUUCAGUCGCUCCUCUCAUUUCCCUAUUAUUUUCCCUUUCUCCUUCCAUCAUUUACACAAACGGAUACCGCUCCAAUACCAAACGCCAACACACGCUGUCACACACUACUGUUGCCACUACACGCACUGGUUGGUUCUUUUUCUUUGCUUUUUUUUUCUAAUAAAUGUUAUUCAUAGGUUGUAUCUGUGUUAUUAUUCUGAUAGAUGGUUUUAUUUCAGAUUCGAAUUAGGAUAUAGAUUUGUUUAUGAAUGAAAUUGUUAUUCUAUCUUUGGUUCGAAUAUAAUGAAGGAUGAAUUAUUUCUGUAUUUUGGUUUUAAUUGUGUACAUGAUAUUCAUUUGUUAAGAUUGAAGUUUAAUCUUUCCUUUUUUUUUUUUUUUUUUAUGAAAUUGCUAAGGAUGUUUAAAGAAAAUUAAUUAAAUUUCACACUUUUUACUUGCUAGUGUUAAAUCAUCGAUUGACCUGAAAAACUUAAGUUGAUAGGUAAAUGUAAAUUUGAUAUCAUAUCAUUUUUAAAAAAUCUAGUAAAGAGUCGUUUUAAAAAAACUCUAGUAAAAUUAGAAAAUGGAAAACAUUUGACCCUUUAUCUUCAUUUAUUUAGCUUUUAUCAAUCAAAGUUCACAAUCGUAAAUAUUUGACCAUUUUUCCUUACUAAUGUUCUCGUCACAUGCUUGAUGCAGACCAACUCUUUUGUAAAGUAAAAAGGAACACUAGAAAUGUAGUGAUUUCUCUUUUGUUCUCAUCAUAAAGGCACUUAGAGAUAAUGAAAAAUCUCCUUCAUAUAGCCAAAACUUAAACAUGCUUUAUUCAUUUGGUUCAAUGAUGAAUAAGGAUUGGAUUAAGCUUAGAGAUAGAUUCUCAAAAGAGUACUUUGACGGAGUUGUGAAAUUCAUGGAAGUGGCAAAGUGUCAUGUAAAUGGAGAGGGGAAAACGAGAUGCCCAUGUAAAAAUUGUCAGAAUUCAAUGUCUCAAACAUUAGAUGGAGUAGAAUGACAUUUAUUUGCUAAUGGAAUAUCUCCUUCAUAUAGUCAAUGAAUUUAUCAUGGAGAACCGGUAAAUUUAGCUCAAUUUCAAAGAGUCAAGACUCCUUUAGCUCAUUCAGUGGAUGAUGGAUUAAGGGAAGAACCUACUGCACACAAUGAUAAUGAUGAGUUGUUCAAUCUUUUAAAUAAUUUGCAAGGACCGAUGAGAGAAGAAGCAUAUGAUGAAGUUGAAGAAGACUUUGGAGAUGAAAUGGCUGAGAACAUCGAACAAAAGGAUACUUCAAACAUUUUUGAGGAGUUGAUGGAUGAAGCACAUAACCCGUUGUACCCUAGUUGUACAAAAUGUUCCUCAUUGAACUUCUUGGUGAGAUUGAUGCAUAUUAAGGUUCUCAAUAAUUGGAGUCAUAAAUCCUUUGAUAUGUUACUAGAUUUGUUGAAAUAUGUCUUUUCAACUGGUGCAUGGUUACCUAGUUCUUUUUAUGAAGCCAAGAGGAAAUUACGUGACCUAGGACUAGGAUAUGAUUCUAUUCAUGCUUGCAAGUACGACUGUGUUUUAUUUUGGAAAAGAUAUUCUAAUUGUCAAAGUUGUCCAGCGUGUGGUGAGUCUCGAUACAAAAUAAAGGAUGACAAGAAUAAGAAGAGCCCAAACAAAAUUUUACGUCAUUUUCCAUUAAUACCAGGGUUGAAGUGAUUGUUUUCAUCAAAACACAUUGCUUUCGAGAUGCGAUGGCAUAAGGAUAAACGAGUUGAAACUAAUGGUGUGUUGCGACAUCCAACUAAUGUUGAAUGGUGGAAAUGUUUUGAUAGAGAGUUUCCUGAAUUUGCUUCAGACCCAAGGAAUGUUCGAUUAGCCUUAGCUUUCAAUGGAUUUAAUCCAUUUGGGAAUAUGAGUAUUGCAUAUAGCAUGUAGCCCAUGAUGCUUCUUCCUUACAAUUUGCCACCAUGGAAGUGCAUGAAGGAAUCUAAUUUUUUCAUGUCUUUACUUAUAGACAUAGCAAAAUUUAGGUCCAACUCUUAAAAUCUAUCAAUGAUAAAGUUUAUCAUUAGAUAGAUCUUGCUAUAUUUGUAAUUACUUUAACAUGUUAUAUCCUUCAUUAUAUUAUUAGUCCACAAAUUCUAGUCAUUUAAAUUAUCCUUUAGGCGAAAGAAAACCAAAUAACUACCCAAUUUAAUUAUCCUCACUUUCUCAUCAUAGAUGAGUGGGAGAAUACCAGUUGAAAAGAUAUCUUUCUACGAGAAAGAACAGUCCUUAAAGAUGCCAAAACUUCAAAUGCAUGAGCAAUUGUGAAGAGACAAUUAUCUAUAUAUAAUGGUAGAUUAGAUGGUUUUGAAAUAUAUGUACUCUAAAGUAGAAAAAGACAAAAGAAAACGAAGACAGUGAUAAUAAAGGUGUAAAAAAGAAGUAAAAGAAAAGACAAAAAUGGCGAAAACAGCAAAACUAAAUUAAUAUAUCGACGUGUUUUGGGUCACCCUAUUUGGACUCAGCCAAAUUUAAUGAUUAUUUUACAUUUUGAGAGAGAAAAAAAACAACUUUCUUGUCCUCUCUUUAGUCAUAAAAAUAUCCAAUGAUGUAUUUUUAUGUCCUCUCUUCGAUAGGAAAGAGGUAGGAAGGCCGGUGCCAUUACAUUUAUUCCCCGUGUAAUUCCUGAGAAAUAACAAAUAAAAAAAUAUCUAGUCUCACAAAAAAUUUGUCACCUAUACACAUUAAUUAGAUAAUUGAGUUAGACAAAAAAUAUAAAUAAUAAAUAAUAAAUACUAAUAUUUUUUCACAUGAUAAAUCUGAUUUUUUUAAAAAAUAAUUUUAUUUUAAUAAUUAUUAACAAAAAUAAGGUUGGAUAGAAAAUAUUGUCAAAAAUAGGCGUUGUAAUCGUGUACUCGUUACACGAUUAAAACUAAAUCGUGUACCGGAUAUACGAUUACCUGUGAUCUGGCACGCGCAGACUACCACAUAGACAGUCAUGCAGUGUUGACCAGGUAAUCGUGGACGGGAUCCAUGAUUACCCUAAGUCGUGUACCGUGGUCCUUAAACUCGUGCCCUUCCUCUUCUUCCUCCCAUCCGAAACGUUUUCUUCAUUUUUAUUCCUCUCACUGCUGCGGGUUGUCAUCUCUACCGUCUGCCGUCUCCGAUCUUGUUGCUACUGUCGCUGCCGUGAGCCAAUCUACCCUCUACUGCCGUGAGCCGAUCUAUCCUUUGUCGCCAUCCGCCUUAGUCUGGUUUUUUUGGGUUGCACAGAUCGGAUUUAUCUAACUUGAUUGGCACCUCAUUACUGCUUUAGUUGAGCGUUGGAGACCAAAACCCCACACAUUUCACCUGCCUUGUGGGAAAUAUACGAUUACGUUGCAGGAUGUUGCCAUUUAGUUUGGGUUACAAGUGGAUGGAGAACCUUUGACAGGUUCAUUACAAUAUAAUUGGAAAAUUAUUUGUGACGAGCUCUUGGGCGUUCUACCAGAUGAUCUGAAAGCCUCAAGAUUAAGUAUUCCAUGGUUGGUGUCUUAGUUUUCAGAAUUACCUCCCGAUGUCGACGACAUUAGCAUACGUAGAGAACUUUCUCGGACUACCAAUACACAAGCGUUGGAAAUAGCAGGGUCGCUGAUACUACUACAGGUAUGGGCUUAUGAUAGAUUUUCAAUUAUAGCACUACAAGUUCAGUUACAGGCCCCAGGUCAUCAUCCACUUAGUUUCAGAUGAAGUGGUGUAUUAGCUGCCUUUGAACAGUCAACAAAUAUGUUGCUAGUAUACCGAAAAAUAUUUGACAGACUGAUGCACAAUUAGAUUAAUUGGACGUCAUACACGCAAGACAUUUGGUCAUCACUACCUGAUUACUGUCAUGAUGGUCAAGACAUCUGGUUGAUCGUUAGCUCUCUUAUAUGCUUCCAUAUAGUAGAGUGACAUCAUCCAGAUCGUGUGUUGAGACAGCUCGGUUUGCGACAAACGGUACCUUCGUUGUGCUAUACACUCCCAGAACUACACUAGAUUGAUUUGAGAAGUAAGCACGACCAAGACUGGCGUCGAAUUCAUGCAGAAUAUAUAUAUAUACCUUACUAGUAAGCACGACAUGAUCGUUGUACAUAGGGAGAAAUAACAAAUACACCAGUUGUAUCAGACGACUACUUUUCCUAGUACAAUUCAAUCACGAGGUGAUUUAUCACACCUGACGGCACUUACUAUUACUGCAUGAAUAAUUUUAUCGAAGAAGUACAACAAUAUUCCGUACAACACGAUUUACCAGAGUUAGGUUCAAUGUGUGACCAAACAUUGGUCAACAUAGAAAUUAUUAUUCAACAAACAAGACGACUCAAUGUUGGUGACACUGAUCGAAGAGUAUUUAUCGUAGACGAUAACGGCAACAGGGCGAAGCUAAUUUAGAGGCACACGAAGACAAUCUCAUGUGGGGUAAGGGCCAGGAGGUCGUCUUCAAAUUUCAUAUAAACUUCUAUUUUCAAAUAAAGAACUAAUUGUAAAUUUUCUCCAGUAU